GACGAAGGAUGCAAGCGUUAUCCGGAUUCAUUGGGUUUAAAGGGAGCGUAGGUGGCCUUAUAAGUCAGUGGUGAAAUCCUCGAGCUUAACUCGGAAAUUGCCAUUGAUACUGUAGGGCUUGAGUAUAGUUGCCGUUGGCGGAAUAUGACAUGUAGUGGUGAAAUACAUAGAGAUGUCAUAGAACACCGAUUGCGAAGGCAGCUGACGAAACUAUAACUGACACUGAGGCUCGAAAGUGCGGGGAUCAAACAGG
rnacentral:rRNA from 1 species